AUGCCAUGAUAUGGGAACUUUCUCAAUAAAUCCUUGAACCUCUCCCAAGCAUCACAUGCCCACUCAUCCUCCUACUGUUGAAAAGAAAUAAUCUCAAUCUAAAACUU